AUACGUAGGCGACAAGCGUUAUCCCGAUUUACUGGGCGUAAAGGGCGUGUAGGCGGUCUUGCAAGUCAGAAGUGAAAUUCCUGAGCUCAACUCGGGCGCUGCUUCUGAAACUGCAGGACUUGAGUGCUGGAGGGGAUAGCGGAAUUCCUAGUGGAGCGGUAAAAUGCGCAGAUAUUAGGAAGAACACCGGUGGCGAAGGCGGCUAUCUGGACAGUAACUGACGCUGAGGCGCGAAAGCGUGGGGAGCAAACAGGAUUAGAUACCCUGGUAGUCCACGCUGUAAACGAUGAAUACUAGGUGUGGGGGGACUGACCCCCUCCGUGCCGCAGUUAACACAAUAAGUAUUCCACCUGGGGAGUACGAUCGCAAGAUUGAAACUCAAAGGAAUUGGCGGGG
rnacentral:rRNA from 1 species